CCCAGCUCAUCCACCUCUGGAGAUUGUGAGAGAAUAGAAGGAUUUCCUGGAAUAAAUUUACUGAAUGAGCAUUGACCAAAAUGUUAAUAAAUGACUGCAGGGCAGUUAUUGAACAUAUAUCAGCUGUUAAAGUCCUCGUCAGCCCUGUUCAUUGUGCAGUAGGUCAAUUAUAAAGCAUGGCCUACUGGAUAGAACAUUGGACUUGGACUCAGGAGACCUGGAUUCCAUUCUCUGCUCUGCUCCUGGCAUGCUGGAGCAAUACCCACUUGUAUGAUUGCCAGGCUUCUACAACACAAUAGACUAGCAAAAACGGUUUUGAAUGAAGUUACAAUUAACCUGAUCGAAAUGAUUCAGCUGAAGCACUCAGAUUCAAGAAAUGAGGUGUGCCUCUCAGCGUGAAAGUGAUAUGUAAAGUGCAAACUAGGUUGAUGCAUGGAGAUUGCUCUUUACAUUAGUGUCAUUUUACUGCUUGAAUGCUGCCUAAUGCAUUAAAUAUGUGCAGCAAAAAGGUUAAUCAAGUACUUAUCACUAUUUCAUUUUCAUGACGAGUAA